rnacentral:rRNA from 1 species
UACGUAGGGGGCAAGCGUUGUUCGGAAUUACUGGGCGUAAAGGGCGCGUAGGCGGCACAACAAGUCGGAAGUGAAAGCCCGGGGCUCAACCCCGGAAUGUCUUUCGAAACUGUUGAGCUAGAGUGCAGAAGAGGCAACUGGAAUUCCCAGUGUAGCGGUGAAAUGCGUAGAUAUGCGGAGGAACACCGAUGGCGAAGGCAAUCCCCUGGGCCUGCACUGACGCUCAUGCACGAAAGCGUGGGGAGCAAACAGG